UAGUGUAGGCGUCCAUUGAACAGAAAAGACGCAAAGACACUGCGCGCAUCUUGUGAGAACGCAAUGGCACUGCUGACACCGGACAAACGGAGGAGCGGAAAACAAAGAGUUAACCAGGACAAUGAGAUGAUGGGAACAUCUGGCAGGGGGAAUAUCAACGGCUAAAAUACGUUAACUAAAACAAAAUCCGUUAAAAUAAAAUAGAAAAGAAACCAGUGAUGCCGAAGUACGUGAUGGUUCCUCCAUCAUGUAAGAAAAGCGCAAAUCUUGUCGGCUGUCAACCUUCGCGUGCUUCAACAUCUCUCUCUCUGUCUUCCCUACCCGCACUCAUCCCUCCCCUAAAACAACUGUCCACAAUAUAAAGUUCCCUCUAUCGGGUCUUCCUCAUGUGUGACACGAUGUCACCUCAAUUUGCUGUCUUGUGCAGACGACAAUACAGACAUUUACACUGCCCUUAAAAAAGAAAGGUUCCGCUCCUCUCCAAGACUCCUGAUCUGCUUCUCUGCAAAUGAAGCCCCACAAGUCAAACUAUAGUGUGCGCACAGACCCAUCACCUCACCCCACCCCACCAACGCGAGCGCUACCACCACCAUCAUCCCCAGCACGAAACCACGAAGUUUAUGAGCGAAGGAACUGAAGAGCUCACGGGUUUAAAUUUAAAGUAAGACUUUAAAGUAAUCUGUAUUAAGUGUUCUUCUCAAUUUAUGUCACUCAUACUACUUGUAACACCCUCGUCACGGCUCUGUGAAGCUUUAUUUUAGCAGACAAUAAUUGUGUUUAUCGCGAAGGCGCAGAAGUCAGUGAAUUUCGAGAGGAAGCUGUCUGCUGGUUUAGCCACACCCUUGUUAUUGUAAUGGGAACAGCAAAGGCAUGCAGGAAACGGGCACGUAGUGCUUUGUCUUUUAGGAUGGAGUGAAGAGAUAGGUGAAACAAAAACCAAUUUGUAAACAUUUGUACGAGUCUGUUCCCGAAUGUGACAGGUAAAUCCAAAAGCAAGGAGCACUACUCUUGCUCUUCUUCAGCCUUUCCUCUCUUCAAGAAAUGUUAGAGAUGGAGGGAGAAACAAGGUGGUUGACAGAGAGGGUGGAUGGGACAUGAAAGACGCGCACACACACGAGCAUGCACAAACCCGUGAGCACAAAAAGUAAUUACCGUUUUUUGUACGGACUGGUUGCGUGCGCGUCAGAGAAUGUGUACCUCAUUAUAACGAAUAGUUGCAAAAUGUUAAGGUAUGAAGUGUAAUGUGUGUUGUCAAGUUCUAUUUAGUCCACCAUUUAUAUAUCGUCUUAAUUUUUAUGAGCCAAAGCAAAGUUACGUUCCGGCCUUUUGACUUGCAAACACAAUAAAGUCUGAAUAAUAAAACAUACACAUUGUA